rnacentral:rRNA from 1 species
AGAGUUUGAUCAUGGCUCAGGACGAACGCUGGCGGCGUGGAUAAGACAUGCAAGUCGAACGGGACAUUAUUAAUAGCAAUAUUGAUGAUGUUCAGUGGCGUAAGGGUGCGUAACACGUGAAUCAUCUGCCGAGAAGUGGGGCAUAGCUCGCCGAAAGGCGAAUUAAUACCGCAUAUUGUAGCAAUACCAAAGCCGGGGCAACUUGGCGCUUCUUGAUGAGUUCGCGGCCUAUCAGCUAGUUGGCGGGGUAACGGCCCACCAAGGCUAUGACGGGUAGCUGGUCUGAGAGGACGACCAGCCACACUGGAACUGAGACACGGUCCAGACACCUACGGGUGGCAGCAGUCGAGAAUUUUUCUCAAUGGGGGAAACCCUGAAGGAGCGACGCCGCGUGGAGGAUGAAGGUCUUCGGAUUGUAAACUCCUGUCAUUAGUGAACAAAGUUCGCGCUUUACUGGUUGCGAAUUUGCUAGUAACUGAAGAGGAAGAGGCGGCAAACUCUGUGCCAGCAGCGGCGGUAAUUC